rnacentral:rRNA from 1 species
ACGAACGCUGGCGGCGUGCUUAACACAUGCAAGUCGAACGGUGAAGCGCCUUCCUUUUUGGUGGGUGUGGAUGAGUGGCGAACGGGUGAGUAACACGUGAGUAACCUGCCCCCUUCUUCUGGAUAACCGCAUGAAAGUGUGGCUAAUACGGGAUAUUCUGGGUCUGUCGCAUGAUGGGUCUGGGAAAGAUAUUGUUUCGGUGGGGGAUGGGCUCGCGGCCUAUCAGCUUGUUGGUGGGGUGAUGGCCUACCAAGGCGGUGACGGGUGGCCGGCCUGAGAGGGUGGACGGUCACACUGGGACUGAGACACGGCCCAGACUCCUACGGGAGGCAGCAGUGGGGAAUAUUGCACAAUGGGCGCAAGCCUGAUGCAGCGACGCCGCGUGAGGGAUGGAGGCCUUCGGGUUGUGAACCUCUUUCGCCAGUGAAGCAGGCCUGCCUCGUUUGUGGGUGGGUUGACGGUAGCUGGAUAAGAAGCGCCGGCUAACUACGUG